rnacentral:rRNA from 1 species
CCUACGGGGGGCAGCAGUGAGGAAUAUUGGUCAAUGGUCGGGAGACUGAACCAGCCAAGCCGCGUGAGGGAUGAAGGUACAGAGUAUCGUAAACCUCUUUUGUCAGGGAACAAAGGCGGGGACGCGUCCCCGGAUGAGUGUACCUGAAGAAAAAGCAUCGGCUAACUCCGUGCCAGCAGCCGCGGUAAUACGGAGGAGGCGAGUGUUAUCCGGUUUUAUGGGGUUAAAGGGGGCCGCAGGCGGUCUGUUAAGUCAGCGGUCAAAGCCCGGGGCUCACCCCCGGCCCGCCGUUGAAACUGGCAGUCUCGAGUUGGAGAGAAGUAUGCGGAAUGCGCGGUGUAGCGGUGAAAUGCAUAGAUAUCGCGCAGAACUCCGAUUGCGAAGGCAGCAUGCCGGCUCCACACUGACGCUGAGGCACGAAAGCGUGGGUAUCGAACAGGAUUAGAUACCCCAGUAGUC